UUUAUUCCUCUCUCAGGCUGUUUGCUGUUAUAUUUAGGUGUUGCACAUGACAGAUAUUUUCACAUAAAAUGAGCCUCCUGCAGACCCUGUUAUGCUGCAUCUCACUGGGCAUCUCAUAUGCUCAAUCACAGACACCGGUGCUGACACCUCAGGGUGGGUCAGUUAAUCCUGGGCAAAGUUUUACAUUUAACUGCAAUGUAGGAGUUAAGGAUGGUUGGGCCAUGUAUUUCUUUAAACAAUCACCUGCAGAGCCUCCUAAACUUAUUUUUUACCAUCAUCACUCAUACACAGCACCCAGAUAUGGACCUGGGAUGUCAUCAGCUCAUUUCACUGGCACAAUAAACAGCGCUGGAACUGAAUAUCAGCUGAUUAUUAAAGAUACACAGAUUGCAGACACAUCUGUCUAUUUCUGUCUUAAAGCUUAUCAAAGUACUGGUGCAUAUCACAGUGAUAUAGAGCCUGACAAAAACUUUGAAACUGCUGAUUAUAAAACAAGAAGUGAAAUUUGGAAAUAUCAAGUAGCAAAAGCAACAUAAAGACAAUAAAGAUUAACAACACAAUGUAUUUGUCAUAAUCUAAUGAAUGAUCCCUGUUACUAUGAUUCUAUUAACAGUACAAACACAGAGAUUACAGAGAGGAAUAUGCUGUAUAUUCAUUAUUUAAGCAAAUAAACUGGAUAUGAAGAUAUUAAGAA